rnacentral:sRNA from 1 species
GCUGGGCAUGGUGGCCCAUGCCUGUAAUUCCAGGGACUCAGGAGGCUGAAUCAGGAGGCUGGCAAGUUUGAGGCCAGUCUUGGCAUCUUAAUCAAACAUUAUCUCAAAAUACAAAGGGUCUGAAUAAAUUGCUGAGGCUGGCUUUGAACUUGAGAUCCUUCUGCUU